GCGGUCGUGGCCGAGUGGUUAAUGCGAUGGACUAGAAAUCCAUUGGGAUCUCCCCGCACAGGUUCGAAUCCUGUCGACUGCG
rnacentral:tRNA from 2 species